UAGGGAAUCUUCCGCAAUGGACGAAAGUCUGACGGAGCAACGCCGCGUGAGUGAAGAAGGCUUUCGGUUCGUAAAACUCUGUUGUUAGGGAAGAAAAAAUGUAUAGUAACUAUAUACAAAAGAGACGGUACCUAACCAGAAAGCCACGGCUAACUACGUGCCAGCAGCCGCGGUAAUACGUAGGUGGCAAGCGUUGUCCGGAAUUAUUGGGCGUAAAGCGCGCGCAGGUGGUUUAGAAAGUCUGAUGUGAAAGCCCACGGCUCAACCGUGGAGGGUCAUUGGAAACUAAUAAACUUGAGUGCAGGAAAGAAAAGUGGAAUUCCUAGUGUAGCGGUGAAAUGCGUAGAGAAUAGGAGGAACGCCGGUGGCGAAAGCGGCUUUUUGGCCUGCAACUGACACUGAGGCGCGAAAGCGUGGGGAGCAAACAGG
rnacentral:rRNA from 1 species